GGAACUUCAAACACGUUAGACAUAAAUGAUGUUGCCAGUCUAAUGAAGAGAUUAAGACAUUGUAGACUCAUGUACAGGUGUGUUAGGUGUGUUAGGUGUGUACAGGUGUGUUAGGUGUGUACAGGUGUGUACAGGUGUGUACAGGUGUGUUAGGUGUGUACAGGUGUGUACAGGUGUGUACAGGUGUGAGAGUGAACCUGCGUAACCUUGUGUCUCCGAGUGCAGAGAGUCCC